rnacentral:rRNA from 1 species
AGCAGCCGCGGUAAUUCCAGCUCCAAUAGCGUAUAUUAAAGUUGUUGCAGUUAAAAAGCUCGUAGUUGAAUUUCGGGGUUAGUAGGUUGGUCAUGCCUCUGGUAUGUACUGGUCUCACUGAUUCCCCCUUCCUGAUGAACCGUAAUGCCAUUAAUUUGGUGUUGCGGGGAAUUUGGACUGUUACUUUGAAAAAAUUAGAGUGUUUAAAGCAAGCUAACGCUUGAAUACAUUAGCAUGGAAUAAUGAAAUAGGACGUUCGAUCCUAUUUUGUUGGUUUCUAGGAUUGACGUAAUGAUUAAUAGGGAUAGUUGGGGGCAUUAGUAUUCAAUUGUCAGAGGUGAAAUUCUUGGAUUUAUUGAAGACUAACUACUGCGAAAGCAUUUGCCAAGGAUGUUUUCAUUAAUCAAGAACGAAAGUUAGGGGAUCGAAGACGAUCAGAUACCGUCGUAGUCUUAACCAUAAACUAUGCCGACUAGGGAUCGGAUGAUGUUAAUUUUUUAAUGACUCA